rnacentral:lncRNA from 1 species
GUCUCAGAGAGAGAGGGGCUUCAAGUGUGUGUGUGAGAGAGAUGAAGCAAAGGAAAAUAAAAGGGAUAGGUCAAUAAUAUACAGAAGCAAAUCUGUGUCAAAAUCAGAAAUAAGAAAGUGUGAAAAGUUUAAUACUGCCAAAAAUGAGAAAUAGCCAGAUUAUUAGAAAAUCUGGAAGUAAAGUUUGUACGUGAAGUGCAAAUAUUACUCAAAUAUAUAUUAGAACUUAGAAAACAAAAACUUACAAAAAUUGGGUAGAGAAAUGCACGUAAAAAAAAUAAAAUGAGCCCAGAGAAGAAGCGAACAUCAGGUAUAAAAGUAAUAUGCAGCAACAAGGAAGCAAACAUUUGAGAAAUCUAACAAUGUGGAAAGGUGGGAAUAUGUCAGAACCUCAAGGAGAAAUUUGUUUUUGGAAAGGCACAAUCUCUUUUUGAAGCAGGAGAACAGGAAAACAUGGUAAGUGAGGUAAAUUAUAUUUUAAGAGUGGUGAGACUCUUAAAGAUAAGUGAGGUAAAUUAUAUUUUAAGAGUGGUGAGACUGAGGAAGGUUAUGCCAGAUGACCUCCAUCCUCAAUAAAUUAUGUAGGAUACUUCUCUAUUGAAAGAGAAAAAUGAGACUGAAAAUGACGUUGAAAUAAAGGGUUGGGAAAAAAUAGACAAAUUUAAAAUACUUCUACAGAGACAGAAUCAAUAUGAGAUAAAUAAAAGAAUUGCUGGCUAGAGGUUAAGAGUUAGGAGACUCAAUAUCAUGUUAUUAUACUGGGUACCUGUUACAUGUUUCCACGAACAUUUCCAGUAGUAUCAGGCUGAAUGAGAACAAGAAAAGCAUGAAGACUCAGGCAGGAAACUGGCUUGGAGAGCACUAUUUUUUUUUUUUUGUUUACUUGUGUAAAUUUAAUUAUCUAAAUCUGUACUCUAUUGGCACUUCCUUUUAGAUGUUUGCUUUCAAUGGUUGGUUACCCUCCUAUCUCUCUAGUUUCUUGGAUGAUGAAUGGAAAACAAACAAAAAAUGUAGUGUGAUAAUGUGUCUACGUUUUGUUUAAGUCUGUAAAGGUCUUGCUAUGCUUUGCAUGUAGAAAGAGAGAAGACUGCUUUCACCCUAACAAUGAGAAAGAGACAAAUAAUCUGCAAAAUUAUAACUUUACUUGAGCCCAUCAGAAAUAGGAGGUACCAAGGCAACCAAAUAAACUGAACUGGAAAGUGUGACAAGUCACUGCUAAGAGAAAUGAGACAGGAACUUUUCACCUUUGGAGGAUCAUGGGAAAAAGUUAGUUGUUAUACAAGAAAAUGAGAAAAAGGAAGGUGGCCAAAAAUUAACUAAUUUUUAAAAGCCAAGAGUGGGGCAGUAUGACAACUUGGAAAAAGGGGGAGCGAAACUCAACAUGAAUUUACAGCCUUCCAAAAGGGGCUCACAGGAAGAAUUGAAGCAAGGCAAAACAAAACAAAGAAAGCUCUUCUCCAUGAUACAGGGUGCAGGAGGUGAUUGGCUGCUGUGAGAGAAGGACACAAAGCCACGCCCACUUCCCUCAUAACUUUCUCAUUGGAGCAAAAACUUUAGGCUACUGGUGAAGGGCAGCUAACUCUCCAGCUCCCAGGGCCAGUGAAAACUCCAUUGCUUUUGUGAGAUAGGAGUGAGGGGAAGGAAUACACACCUCUUUGUGGGGAAAGAUAAGAACACUCUCACUAACAGCAUGUACAAAGAAAAGUUGGAAUUGUAACAGGACCUUCCGGAUGUGAAAUUGACCCUUGAAGAACAUGUGUUUGAAUUGUUUGAGUCUUCUUAUACAUGGAUUUUCUUCUGCAUCUGCUGCUGCUGAGACAGACAGCAAGACCAACCCCUCCUCUUCCCUCUCCUCAGCCUACUCGAUGACAUGGAGAUAGCAAGAAUGAAGACGUUUAUGACAAUUCCCUUCGGCUUAAUAAACAGUAAAUGUAUUUUCUCUUACUUACGAUUUUCUUAACAAUAUUUUCCUUUAUCUAACUUACUUUAUUCUUAGAAUAUAGUAUAUAAUACAUAUACUAUAAAAAUACAUGUUAAUCAACUGUUUAUAUCAUUGGUAAAGUUCCUGGUAAACAGUAGGCCACUAGUAGUUACAUUUUAGUAGAGUCAGAAGUUAUACACAGAGUUUUCAACUUUGUGGGUGUCAUCGCCCCUAACCACCCCCCAUUGUUCAAGUGUCAAUUGUUUAGCAUUUACCCACAAUAAGUAAGCCCACAAAUAAUUUUCUGGAUUAUUUUUGUUAUUUUGGAAAGCAUAUGUGACAAUAUUGAUGGUACGAUACAAAUACAGGCAUAUACUUGCUUGCUUUAACUUGACUGUAUAAUGGAUGGCCCAGUUAUAGUUUCCUGAAAGAGCAGUGUUGCCUUCUAUGAUACAUAUUAUAAUUGUUAUAUUUUAUAUAAUGUUCCAGGGUUGAAAUAUUAUUAUAUCAAGGAAACAUCAAAAUUUAUAACAAAGAUAAUUAAUUCAAACUAGAAUCUGAACCAAAAGUUGUUUGCCAGAUAUUAAUGCCCAAGACUAGAUAUCAGUUAUAUUCACUAGCUCCAAAGAGAGGAAGGCACUGACUUAUGUGUCUUUUCCACCCUUAUGCAGUCAUUAAAUGCAAGCAAUAAACAUGAAUAUGCACAAAAGCACAUAUCAGCAUUAGCAAUCAAAUUAGUGCCACUUGCAUUUAUAGCAGAUUUUUAAAUGCCUUGAAUCAUAUUAGAAACAUAAAGAAGAACAUUCUACACUGGCCUGAAUGUCCCUUCAGGAUAUACAAAGCUUAAAUGGAAUUCCUCUGAUGAAGCAGACUAGAAUUUGACUAGAUCUGUAAUGCUGACACAAACCAUAUUGAAAUGGAGUUGACCUAUAGUUCCUCAUACUCAAAUGCUCCUACUGAGAAAGUGUGAAUUCUAGCAUGCAAUUUUGAUAUCAAAAGUUUUAAGGUCAAGAAAAAAAGAUAUAAAAAUGAAUUCUAAGCUUUUACACUUGAAGAGUCAAACAGAAUGUAUUAAUUUUUGAAGCAAUGUUUUUGUGAAUAUAAGUUUCUACUUCAUUGACUAAAAUUCUAUUUCCUAAAGUGAGCACUGUCAAGAGAUUGUCUUCAGACAUAAAUUCCCUUAAAAUAAAUUAAACAAGAUCUUUUUCAAUAUUCUCAAAAUAGUGAAAGAGCAAGUGAAGGCAAGAUACAUAGUCAAGUCUUACAAAAAUUUGGAGACAGGUGGGUGGGGUGGGGAAGAGGGAUAUGUUAUUGUGAAUCCAAAUUUGAAGCAAGGGAAAAAUGGUUUUCAACUAUCAAGAAUGUGUAGGGACUGAGUUAAUCUAGGAUAGUUUAAUGAACACUGGAAGAAACCAUGAGGCACCUGGGUCAGAAACAACGAAUGUUUUAUUACUCACAGUAAUAGCAGUGGUUAGAGUAUCAGCAUUUUCUGUCCUGAUUUCCUCAGCUCCCAGUUCCCCAGAUAAAUGAACAGAAGAGCAGAUGAUAUUUGUACAUGCAGUGGGAUUCUAUGGACAGGAAGCAUGUCUGUCUUUUGUUCCGGAAAGUACCAGAACAAAUUAUCCAGAGUGAAACUAUGUCUAUCUUCCAAGGCCAUAAACAACCCUUCCAUUUGCACACUAGAGUGACAAUAUCUCUGUUUUCCAAGGAUGUUCAUUAUGCAUUCAUACAUAUUUCAGAACAGUCCAUGCCUCUGCAAUACAAUCAGAAAUGUGAGAGACUGUGGAGAAUCGUCUCUCAACACCUCUGAAACUACAUUUCAUAUUUUCUAAGCUAGGGCCAAGGAAGGUAAACAUUUAGCCUUUCAUCACUUAGCAAAAGGCAAGAAAACUGGCACUUCAAAAGGCAGGAAUGGAAAAAUUGUCCACAGUUCUCAAGGUAUCCUUCAGAUAUAAGCUAACUAUAGCUUCUCUUCAUAGUCCCGCUUCUAUGACACAUAACUACAAGCCCAUGUAGCUGUCUCUAUCCAGAAAAUUACUAUUUGACACAAACGACACAGUGACUUCUCUAUCCUUCUGCUGUAGAUUUGAAUGUAUAAGCAUGUUAUAGGGGAAAAUAAAAGUUUCAGAUCACUCUUGUUCACCUCUCCUGCCAGUUUAUCAGCACAUUUGAAUUAAAGUAUAAUCCAUUCUGCAUAAAAGUUAAUAAACCACAGCCCCUUCAAAAACAUAGCAAUCUGAUUUGACAGGAACAAAAAUUUAAAAUGCACAAAUAUGGCUCACUGCAUUCAGUAUGUUUAAUAUUAUUUAACCACUGCAAAUAAUGUUGGGCCAUUCUUUCUUAAGCUUAACUAUGAAUUCUGGUUGAUAUAAAACUUUUAGUUAAACAUCCAAAAAAAACACUAUCCAAUAAAAACAUUUAAUACCAUAAGUAAUUGUAAUUAUCAUGGAAUGAUAACUGAAAAAUUAUUCCCAAUUGCACGUGUCAUGAAAAUCCUACAGAGUCCUGAGUCACAGGCUUUUAUUUGUUAUGGUGCCAGAAGUUCCACUAUUACCACACACAGGGUUACUAAAGUCUAUCAUGUUUCACGGGAUAGAUAACACUAAAACAGCCCAUGUUGCAUAGGAUUAUACUAAAACUGCCAUUGUGAAGAAUAAUAAUAAAAAGCUCUCAAAAACCCAGCAACUAUUAUGACACGCUUAGGCUAUGAAACCCAAGACUAAAUAAAAGACUAUUCAAACUUUUGUUUUUGAAAUAAUCAUUGUCUUAAAUUUUCUUGUAGAUUUAUUCGGUUCUAAAUGAGUAGAAAGCAAGAAAAAAAGUCUCAGAUUUUAUCAGAUACUUUAGGGCACAGAUAUUUUGUCUACUGGUUAAAUGUGUUGAUUAUAUUAUUAAAACCUGUGAAUAUUCAUUAAGUUCAGGGUAUUCAGUUUCCAGACAUUUAUGAUGUCUCACAAUAGCACAAACUUCAGAAAAUCAGGGAAGACAAGAUUUGAAUUUUACAGGUGUAGUUUAUCAAUUUUCAAAACAGGUCAGGUGUAAAAACCUUACUCGCAUGUGAUAAAGGGAAGUUGUUAAACUCUGAUUUAUUAGACAGUGACAAAUGCACUUACCAUGCUUUUGAUUUUUUUGGGGGGGUGGGGGAGAUGGAAUCUUGCUCUGUCACCCAGGCUAAAGUGCAGUGACACCAUCUCAGCUCACCGCAACCUCCGCCUCCUGGGUUCAAGUGAUUCUCCAGCCUGAGCCUCCUGAGUAGCUGGGAUUACAUUCAUGUGCCACCACAUCUGGCUUUUUAAAAAAAUUUUUUUUUUGUAUUUUUAGUAGAGACAGGGUUUCACCAUGUUGGUCAGGUUGGUCUUGAACUCCUGACCACAAAUGAUCCACCCGCCUCAGCCUCCCAAAUUGCCUGAUUGUGUUUAUUCAACACUAAUAUAAAUAGUUAUAUUAUUUUGUUUUUAAUGUGAAUUGUGAAUAUAUACCAUUUAAUAUGUUUAAGAUUUUAAAAAGAGCAAACUUACUUUACAAAGAAAUUUGGUAAAUAUGUUGUUAAAAUCAGCUUUAUGAAAUGCCAAAUACUAUGGAUUUGAAGCACCUCUAGCUUACUUACCUAUUUUGUCUAUAAUUAUCUAAAGUAUAGAACAUAUGAACAUAUAGUGAAAAUGUAAUAGUGCUUGGCAAAUGUGACAGUGUUACUUUAUAGGCUAUCUCUACAUACAUUAUUUAACAUGGCACAUUGCAUUUGUUUCUACUGUUCCCUGAAACCCUUCUGAAAUAACAGUGACACAAUUAAAAAGUCAGGAAAUCACAAAGACAGUGAGAACAAUAGUAGAUAAUUGUUAACUAGAAUGUUGGACAAAUGAAGGGUAGAUUGUAACCUACAUUUCCAACAGAGAAUAUUUAAGUGUAACUGCCUGUGGCAGGGUAAAGACAGAUAAAUUCUAAUAACAAACAAGGCAAUUAUUGUCACAAAAACCCAGAAAUCCUCAGGAAUUGGAGGUCCCUGCUAUUGGUGAAGGCCAGGAUGUAGGGUUUGGGGGAACAUAGGAAGAUAAGAAGUCAAAGUGAAAUUACGUCUCCUCUCUCAGACUAUGCAGACAUUAAACUUGCCUCCUUCAUUCCUUCAGAGAUGGGAGGCAGAGCAGAGGGGGUAGACUGGGAACAUUUUGUAAAGAUUUGGUGGAAAUUAACAAACAGUGAUGGGAACGUCAGCCCAUUUCCCUUAUUCAACUUCCAUAUUUGGGAGAGCCAGGCUAAAACUUCCCCAAACCUCCCAAACUACCUUUCACAAAAGCAGGAGAUUACAAGAUUCUUCUCCAAGUAAGCUGGCCUAAGAAACAAUAUGAAUGAAAUUUGAUAGCUUGAUCUUCUAUGACACAGUCUCAUCAGUGAGUAAGCCUUGACCAUGAGUGGGAAUGUCUAAUAACCUUUAAUUUAUAAUGCUGUUUCUAGUGCCUCAUUCUUAAGUGUGAACUAACAGUGAGUCUUUGAGUCUUUCUUUACUCCAAAAGCAACAAAAGAGGCCAGGAGAAAUUAAGAGAGGAAAAAAAAAAAAUUCAUAAAAAACCCUUAGACCAUCCAAAGAGUGAAAAAUUUCAUUUGUAUGUGUAUGUGGAUGAUAUAUGCAUUCCAUAGAAUAUACUAUUCCAAAAAUAAAGAAGUUAUUCUUUCUUUCAGUAGGAAUUAGGAUUUUUUUUUUUUUAAUUAAAAAAGAACAGUCAGAGAACAAGAAUGUACUUUUGGAAAUUAAAAAAAAAAAUUUCCAGAAACUAAACGUUUAUUCAAAAAAUUAUAAUAUCCAGUUGAGAAAUUCAAAAUAUAGAAAAAUUAUAUAGACUAUGAAAAUAAAAGAGCAAUAAAAAAUGCAACAUUUAAUUUCAGGAAAUGAAUAGAUAAAACAAAGUAGAAGAAAGUAUAAAAGACAAAGUAAUAUAUUAUCCCAGGACCUAAAAUAUAUGAAUAUGAUAACUAAAGGGCCUACAGGUAACCAAACUAAUGAAAAAAAAAAGGUUCUCACCAACAUAAAAGAAACUUAAACAUCAUGAAAUCAAAAGAAUGAAGCUGAAGUUUUUGAAGUGGAGAGAAAUUAUGAAUGAAACAGAACCUAUUGGUAUUUUUAGGAGCAUUCCUAGAAGGUGGAAGUCAGUAAAGCAAAAUUUUAAAAUUAUGUAGGAAUGUUAUUUCCAAACUACAACUCUGUACUCAGCCAUGCUAUUUUUCAUGAGGGAUAUGAAGGUAUUUUCAGUCAAGCAAGUGCCCAAAAAAUAUACUGGAGUAGAUAAAGAGAAGUACCUCCAAGUAUUAAAACAGAGAGAGAAAGAGGAAGAGACAGAGAGAAGGGAAGAAAGAGAAACAUCUCACUGAAUGCAACAGGAGGAAUUUUAUAGUUUAGAUGGAGAUUUGAGGACUGAAUUCAGCUGAAUUCAGAUGUGAUGGGCGUAUAUUAAUAUAAAGGCAAUUAUUUACUCCAGGGUGGAGAGGUGAGAGAGAGAUGUAUGAGAAGAAACCAGAAGGCUCAGUUGUGAAAAUGAUUGCAUAAAUAAACAAUGUUUAAAAAUUAUUAAUAUAAUGAGAAAAUGUGAGUAAAACUAGACAAUGUGAGGAGGAAAAGUGUGUGUGUUCAGAGGGGGUGUGUAAGUUAGAAGAUACUUGGCAUGAGAGGACAAAAUUCUUUCUUUCCAUAGUAGGUAAUCAAUAGGUCACUUCUAAACCUGACCAUAAGCAACAGUAUCAUUAACCUACUACUUAGAAAAAUAUGAUAUAUAGUUGAAGAAAUUGCUACAAUUUGAAAAUGAUAAUAUGAAUAUUCCAUCUUGACCAACAAAUGUGACAGGGAUUGAGGUUGGCAUAUUUUUUUUUUAUUUCUGAAUAGAGCUUUCUAACAAUAUGAGGUCAUUUUUACCUUACCAGGAUAGCCAGAGUUUUUAACUAAAACAAAUCAUCCAAGUAUUUAACUGAAAAACAUUAAUAUUAACAAAAGAUACCAAUAGUUGGGAUGAAGUUAUAUUUAUAUGAUGAUAUGUAUGUCAUAUUGGAUCCAGAAGAGUAAACACACAGGAGGUUGACAAGAGGGUACAGUGAUUUCAAUCUUUGGAGCAGCUUCUCUGUUUCAAACACUGGAAAUGAGUGGUAAAUUAUCAAAAGAUAAAAGAUACAGGCAGAGUCAUAAAAAAUGAUAAACAUUUCAGCAGACCAGAACUCAAAUCGUCAGGGCUUAGUAAUAUUAUAGAUGCAAAUAUCUGUUAGGUGAGUGGCAGCCUGUGAGUCAGUGUGGGGGAAAAUAAGCCCUUCAGUCCACCAGUGAACAAGAGCUAGGCUCUCUGUUUAAAUGGGAUGCAUAGCAUUAAAAGUAAACUAAUGACCCAGUAGACGUGUAAACCCCUAUUUUAAACCACAUAAUUAAAUUUAAUGCUAAGAAAUAUAACCAAAAAUUGACAUUAAGGGUUGAAUUAAUUUUAUAGGAGUUCUCUUAUGAGAUGCCUAGAUGUUAAAGAAGCAGAGAAUGAGAAAUGAAGAAUUCCCUUUUAUAAUAAAAGAAAAAGAAAAAAUAAAAUAUAGAUAGGGAAAAAUGAAGCAAGGACAAAACAAUUCAUAAAAAAGGCAAUUAGAAAGUGAUAUGAAUAUGGCUUUAUAGUUAUUAAAAUUUAUGUAAAAUAUUUUAUAUAUGACUGUAUAAUAUAUAGAUGAAUUUAAGAAAAUUGUGAAAAAUACAUUAGAGCUGAAAAAAAGAAACAAUGAAUAAAAGCUCUUGGAAAUAAAAACAGUGGCCAAAAUUUAAAAACUGAAUAGGUUAUGUAUUCUUUCUGGACACACUUACAGAGAGAACUUGAGAAAAGGAGAAAAAAUUAAGAAUUCCUCCCCAUAAAAAGAAAACUCAAAACAGCAGAACAUACAAAGAGAUACAGCAACUGAAAUACAGCAGGUACAUAUAGAAGAUAAAUCAAGAGACUCUAAUAUAUGCCAAAUAAUAAUUCGAGAAGAAUGGAGAGAAAAGAUAAUGCAAUAGUGAUAUAUUCUGAAGUAAAAACAAAUGAAUCAGCAUUAGUUGUAAAAAUAAAGAGGCAGAAUUAUCUAAGUAUUGUAUGAGAAUAUGUAAACAUUCUUAUGCCAAUAAAUUUGAAAAUUAAAUUAAAUGAAAAAACUGGAAAUAAAAUGUGAAUUAUCAAAAUUGAUUUGAGGAAGAACAGAAAACUACAUUAAAACAAUAUAUAUUAGUAAAAUUAAAGGGGUCCUCACAAGUUGCCUCCUCUCACUUUUGACCCUAAAACAUCAGGUAAGACAAUGAUGUGUUGAGGAUCCCUUCAUUAAUACCUCUACAAGAAUUAAGAUGGUGUUAAGUGCAUCUUACUAGCUGGAUAGAACUCUAAGGCCUACUACUAAUGUAGCAGUAGAGUCUUUCAAAAACAAUUCUGGAUUUGUCUUUGGAGGCUGAGAUGGAAUAUAAUCAGAAACAGAAACACCACAAACUUUUUAAAGAAGAUAAACUGUUAAAAGCACUGCCAUCCUGGGUGAAUAUGGACUUAAACAUUUCAAACUUAAAAAGGAUCAGGACAGAUGUUUUACAAGCAGAAAGCAAUCUAUGAAAAUUUCUCAAAAUGUUUUCAAAAGGCUUCUUCAGAAGCUUUCAAAGGGGGUCAAAAUCCAAAGAGAACAAUAACCUGGGAAGCCAUGCUCAGAGAAAAUAACAAAGACUUAAUAGAGAACAUUACUCCUCCACAGAAUGGGAAAAUCUGACAUUCGCACAGCAGGAUUUCAGAAUUGUGAGGGACCAUUGACUUGUGUGUUCCUCUUCUUCUUCCCUAUUUCAAUAGCUGGGUUUAUGAUAAUUACUUAGUCUUAGUCACCUGCAUUCAUGCAUUUGUGUGUGGAGGUGGGUCGGGGGGACAGAAUUUAUCUUUUCAGUUCAUGUGUCUGCAACAAAAGGAGCCAUAUCCAAAUAGGACAUAUCAUGAGAUCCUAGAUUUCAAGCCUGAUGCUUGAUAAUAGUGGAUAAUACUUAUGAAGGUCUUGGUGGAGGCUGAGAAUAUUUUGCACAUGAAAGGGUUGUGGAUAAUACUGCUGGAGAAGGAGGGUGGAGGAACUCGCAUAGAGGCAUUGCAUUGGUGACCCUGAUUCUGUACCCCACUCAGUACUCACAUUCUUGACAUAUAUGACUUCACACUUCCUUUCACUGCAAGGGCAUUUUCUAUUUUCUACAAUUUGAGUUUGACUCAGUGACAAGCAUUGACUUUAUUUAGCUAACUUUUUCCUUGAUUCAUUAAGAAAGUGAGUGUUUUGGUAUUUUUCACUUGCUGAGUAUUUUCUGGUCUCAUAGCUUGAAGCAAAUUAGUUACUCAACAAACAUUUAUUUGUUAUUUUACAUUUUCAUCCCCAAUGAGAAAUCAUUCAUGAUCUUAUUCUCUCUCUAUCGGCCUUGAGAGGCUGGAAAUGAGAAAUAGUUUUAUUUUCCAAACCAGAAAAUUCUGACUCUUUUAUGUUCCCUCUAAAUUUGGCUUGCUAAGUUCUGGAUUAUUUCCUGCAUUUAUCUCUUCCUUUCAGUACCUCAUUUUCAGCUAGCGAGAACCCCUGACUUUUUAUCAUCGUGCAUGGCAAUCUGUUAAGUCAAAUUCAAAAGUUUUUAGGUGCUUUUCUAAUUUCUAAGUUAUUUUGAGCAACAGUUUUACCAAUGUUUCAACACUACAUGACACAAACUGUCAUUUUCCCACCCCUUUUAGUAGUGUAAAUAUAAUUUUUCCCACUCUCAAGCUAAUGAUCAUACAUUUUAGAUUUUUAUUAAGGUAGCAGUUUAGUAAAAUAAAGAAUAACUUUUACACAGUGGUGGCAACACAAACAAAACUGAGAUUUACAUUAUAUGCCAUUCAGAUUAAUACACAAAAUUAAUAAUAUGCUUUUAAGGGUGGAAAAUAGAAAGAUGACUACCAUGUUGCUUCCGAACAAAACUCAGAAGAGAGAAAUGCUGCUUGGCAUUUGUAUGUUUCUUACAACUAUGAAAAAAUAUUCAGCCUCCCAAAGAAAAACUAAAAGACAAUGAGACUCCAUCAAAAGUCAGAGUGUCAUGAAUAAGAAAUUUGAUAACUAUUAAAAAAGAAGUUAUCAAGUUACAUAUUAGUGAUAAGAAAUAGAAAUUAUUUUAUUAUAAUUGGAGAAAAACAUGGCAAUGCCAAACAUGUAAAAUUAGACUUCACAAUUUCACUUCUGCUUAUUGCACUUAGAGCAACUCUUAUACAAAAUACUCAGAAAAGCAAAUGAAAGAAUUUUAUAGCAAUAUUGUUUAUAAGAAGAUAAAAAUGAAAUCAUGUCACUAAAUGUCCAUCAAUAGAAUUAAUGCUUUGAAUCUCAAAUAGAAAAUAUUAAUACAUUAACACAUUGAAUUAUUAUAUCUCAAUUAAAGCAGGUAUAUUUCAAAAAUACAUUUAAAAAGAGCAUGUUAUGAAACUAUAUGAAUAAUGCUAAAAGUUCAAAAACAUAUAAAACAAUAUUAUGCAUUCUUAUAUAUGAGUCUGUCUGUGUUUAGUAAUUUUAUUUAUUUAUUUAUUUUUUUGACGGAGUCUUGCUCUGUCGCCCAGGCUGGAGUGCAGUGGCGCAAUCUCGGCUCACUGCAACCUCUGCCUCCUUGGUUCAAGUGAUUCUCCUGCCUCAGCCUCCUGUGUAGCUGGGAUUACAGGUGCCCGCCACUAUGCCCCGCUAAUUUUUUGUAUUUUUAGCAGAGAUGGGGUUUCGCCAUGUUGGCCAGGCUGGUCUUGAACUUCUGACCUCAGAUGAUCUGCCCGCCUCAGUCUCCCAAAGUGCUGGGAUUACAGGCGCAAGCCACCGCACCUGGCCUAAUUUACAUUUUAUAUACAUUAUUAUUUUUAAAAACAUUCUCUGCUCUGUUUCUGUUCUAGCGAAUCAAGCUUUAUCAUGGGUGUCUCAUUAUAAGAGGAGAGUAUCUCUCUACUCCAGUUUAUCUUAGGAAUGGCAUGUGACUUGUUUCAGUCCAUGAAAAACUACGGCAUAUAUUAUGACUCUUUCAAGAUGAAAUUUUAAGAACUAGUUUGACAUUCUGUAUUUACUGUUCUUUCUUUAAUGGGACAGGUAAUGUCCGAAAUAGGACCUGUUAUGUCAGCCAGAGACUUAAAUUAAACAUAAUGUAGAGUAGUAGUUCUAUAGCUCACCUAUGAUUAAUUUGCCAUGGGAGAAAUAAGUUACAAGCUACUUAUACUGGUCAUUAGUUAUCACUGCAUAACUUAACCUAUGCUGUCUAAUUAUAAUUCAUGAGAAUGCUUUCUAAAGUAUAAUUCAUGAGAAUGCUAAAGAGAAAAUUCAAAAUAACAGUAACCUCAGUAUAAAAGAAAUGAGAAGUAUAGGUCAGGGGAAUGCACAGAGUGCUUUAGCCUUAUCUAUGCUAUUUUAUUAACUGAAACAUAAUUGGAAAAUGAUAUUACACAAUGUUGAUAUCUGGUAAGUCUACAUGGUGGAUAUCUGAGCAUAUUUUAUACUUUUUUUAUAUUUCUGAGUGUUUGAAUUAUUCUGUAAUAAAGCAACUCUUUAAAAACAAAAAUAAAAUGCGAAACAUGAAACCCUAAGUGGCAUCAAAUUUUUGAAUAUUUUUGUCUUCAGUUAACAACUAAGAUACCACCUUUUUGAUCUGUUUUGGUGGAAGAAAUUAUAUUUUUGUUCAUAAACUAAUUACAGUAUUAAGUCAAUUUUUUAUCAUCUAAGUAGCACAUUAAAAUAAAGCAAACUUCAUAGGUGAGAUAUAUGUCAUCCCAACUAAGAAUGAAAUACAACAGUUCACAAUUCCCAUUUCACAAUGAAUAUUAAAAAAUUACAAUUACGUGAAUAUGUGCAAAAAUUAAGUGAAUUAAGGCAGUUACAAUUUACAGAGACAUCUGUUAGGUCUGAAGCCUUUAAGAAAGUAUUAAGAUUAAAAAGUUGCUUUGAUUGUUAUUGUUGCUAUUUUUAAUUUUAAUAUUUAGCUUGUAUCCAUACCAAGAUAACACAGACUGUAUUAUAUCCUAUUUUCACAAAAAAUUAAACAGUUACCAUUUUCAUUUUAGGUAGUAUGUAAAAGAAAAUUAAUGGUUAUUUAGUGUCAUAAUAUCUCAUAUAAUUCAUCUAUAAAUUUUCCUAAUUUGGAAAAGAGUCAAAGGUGAGCAAUUAAAGCAAUAUUCUGUUCUACAAAUGAAGAUUAUUAUCAGUCUACAAAAUUAAUCAGAUAUGGCAGGAAGUAUUUUCAGUAGUUAACAAUGAUUAGUCUGUAGUUUACUAGUAUUAUGAGAAUAGAAUUGGAAUGAAUGUUUCUCUGAAUCUGUAUGCAUUUGCAUUCCACCUUAAUAAUGCCUUCAAUUGACUGAAAGCAGCAAAAAAAAAUAUGCAAUUAAGUGUGAUAAGUUGAAUUUACUCAAACUGGGUCUUAGAAGAGUUUCUAGUGAGAUAUUGGAUUUCACUGAAUAUACUGUAAUAUUCUGGUGUCCAUUUUUCAUGUCUUAAAUUACUUUGUCAGUUAAAAUGCAGUGGAGUUAAUAGUUUGCAAAAUAUAUAUUUUGUCACAAUUUUCCAAUAGAUAAAAUUAUGUAUACAUUAGGGUGGCUUUGGCCACAAGUAACAGAAAAAUCUAGUCUAAGUUAGCUUAAAAGCAUAGAGACGUAAAAUAUCUCCAAAGGCAUGUUUAAUUCAGGAUGGCUCCCCUCAUGGUUGAACACUAGUUGCAAUAAUCCUAGGCAUUUCAUCUAGACAUUGUCAUAUCCAGUGGGAGAAAAGGGACUAUCUCUGCAGUGUCUGUUAGAGUACUAACAUUUCUCUAUAGAUCCCUCCUGAGUAUAUUUGCCCAGAAAAUAGUUAUGUAUUCAACUGUUAAUAGAUAAUGGAAAGAGAAAAGGAAUUACCACAAUUGGCUCAGGUUUAUAAAUUUUACCCCUUAUCUGGGCCUAGAGUCACUUUGCCCGAGAUAUAUAUAUAUAUAUAUAUAUAUAUAUAUAUAGAUAUAUAUAUAUAUAUAUAUAUAUAUUUUCCUGGUGUGCGUGUAUAUAUAUAUAUAUGUGUGUGUGUGUGUGUGUGUGUAUAUAUAUAUGUGUGUGUAUAUAUAUAUAUAUAUACACACAUAUAUAUAUAUGUUUUCCUGGUAUAUAUAUACAUAUAUUUUCCUGGUGUGUAUAUGUAUGUAUAAUAAUAUAUAUAUUUUUUCCUGGUGUGUGUGUGUGUAUAUAUAUACAUACACAUCCUACACAUAUAUGCAUAUAUACACAUCCUGAUAUGUAUAUAUAUAUCAGGAAAAACUGUGGUUCUGUUUGCAGAAAAGUGGGGGAUUGAUUGAUUGAUGUUGGGUCAGUAACCCACAACUUUCUACAUAGAAGAAGCUGUAGAAAGAUAUAAACCAAAAAAAAAUAAAAAAAGCAAUAACAGCCCCCAACAUACACAAAAAUGCACCCAGUCACAUACACGUGCACACAUGUACACCCACAUACCCACACACAAAUUCUCUUUAAACUAACCUGAAUUAAAAUAGACAUACAAUAUUAUUAAUUUAUUUAGAAAUUGACUAUUUUGAACCAUGAUUUACAAUGGUAUCAGCCAGGGUUCUCCAGAAAAACAGAACCAAUAGAACACAUACAUGUAGACAUACAUAUGAAGACCUUAAUUUCAAGGAACUGACUUCCAUGAUUGUGGGGGCUGGCAAGUCUUAACUAUGCAGGGCAGGCUAGCAGGCUAGAAACUCUCAGGCAUGAACUGAUACUGCAGUCUUGAGGCAGAAUUUCUUCUGCCUCAGGGAAACCUGUUGUGAUUUUGAGGCCUGUCAAUUGAUUAGAUGAUGCCUACUGAUGUUACCCAGAAGCAUCUCCUUUACUUACCAUCCACUGAUUGGAGAUGUUAACCUUAUCUACAAAAUACCUCCACAGCAAUACCUAGGUUAGUGUGUGAAUAACAAGGUAAUAUAGCCUUGCUAAGUUAACACAUAAAACUGACCAUAACAUAUAUGUUUUAAGAAUGGUGUUACUUUGAUUUUCAACUGAUGACAACAUGAUAAUUAGGUAAUAUAUAAAUAAAUGCCAUUAUAUUCAAAAAAAUCACUUUGGUAAGAUGUAUCUAAUUUCUGUUGAAAAAUUGGUACUGAUAAGUUCAUUGUAUUUUAAAAUUAUUUAAGUUAUGAAAUGUUUCAUACAUACAGAAGAUAAUAUGCUAAAUACCUGUUUACUUAUGAUCUAGAUUUUAUAAAUGCCAUCAUUUGUUACAAUUUUGACUUUUCAUCAUUAGUUACAUGAAAUAUUAUAGGUGAAACUUUCAUCACUCAUGUUAUUUCUCUACUCUUAUCCCAGAUGAAGCUAUUAUAUUUAGGUUGGUAUAUUUCAUUCAUUUUCAUGAUUUUAUAUAUUGUAUAAACAAUAUGUACACAAAACUAUACAUAUAUAUGAGAUGGUAGGAUGUGUUUUAAUUUAUCAUGCUAUCACAAUGUAGACAUUUUCAUGCAAUAUUUUAAAGUCAACAUUAAUUCUUUCGUAUGUAUCCUGUUAUAUUUACAUUUGGUUUAUUCAUUUUAAUAGCUAAACAGUAUUCCAAUGUAUGACUGCAGGAAACUAUUUUUUAAGUUUUUCACGUUUACUUCAUUCAUUCGUCUGAACUUUGUUUCGGGAUACUGUGUGAAAUGAAAACUAUUGAUUCAUAUAUGUCACCAAAGGUAACAGUGACAUUAUUGACUGGACUGAAUUAGCCAUUCCUCAUGGUGUCAGUUCUACUUCUGUCAUAUAUCAAGUUGCUAUAGGAUUUAGAUCUCCUUCUGAGCUCUUUUAUAUUUAGUUCUUAAAUCCUUCUAUAAAUAUCCUUUGAUUGCAGUUACUAAAUCUUUAUGUCAAAUCUAAAUAUCUGGCAGGCCAAGGGAACCCCUUUCUAUUCCCCAUGCAAACUCAAUUUUCUUCUUCAAAAUUGUUUGUCUGUAUUUGGCUUUGUAUUCAUCCAUAUGAAUUCCUGUAUCAGAAUGUCUAAUUCUGGAAAGAAUCCUACUAGGAAUUUGAUUCAAAUUGCAAAUAACUUACAGGUUAAUUUGGGGGAGAAUUGACAUCAUUAAUACAUUCAGUAUCCCAAUGGAAAUGUAGAGUGUACCUCUAUUUUUUUGAACAUUUAUAUAUGUCCUAAAAUAGAUUUUGUUAUUUUUCUCUAUAAAGUUCUAACAAAUACUUCUUAUUUGUAAGUACCCUACAGGCUUUAAAAAUAUUAUGAAUAAGGUUAUCAAAUAUUAUAUUUUUGAAAUUUUUUCAUAAGUAUGAUUUUGUGAUGAAAUCUGAGAUCAAGAUGCUGGCUGAUUCCUGUCCUGGUGAGGGAUCUUUUCCUGGCCUACAGAGUUGCCUUCUUUCUAUGUCCUCAUAUAGUCCUUCCUCUAAUUGUUGCAUAGGGUUCUGCAUAUUCUUUAAGUAAAGGUUGUUACCUGUGCUUUUCAAUUAUUCAAUUGCAUUAUUUAUUUUUGUCUUCUUAUCAAAUGAAUAUGUUGAUCUUUCCCAUGUUUUUAUAAAGGUCAAUUAUUCCUCUUGUUUUACAUAUGUAUAUGCGUUUUUGUAUAUAUAUGUGUAUAUAUAUCUCUCUCUCGCUAUAUCUGGCGAAUACAUGGUCAGACUUUUAAAAAUUCUUCCUGAAGUGUUUGGAAUUAUUUUUAAUUGAUUAAUAUUUCUGAUCAAAUAUUUACAAGUACAAAUAACUAUAGAGAUUUAAUAAGCUGAGAGAACACACCAUUAAGGAAAGUUUGAUAUUUUGGAAAAAAGACCAAAAAUAACACAGGGUUUUUUUUUUUUUAUUCAAAGCUUAUUUAUGUUAUCAAGGACUCAAGUUUAUUUCUCAUUUAUUGCCAUCAUCAUUUUGCACAUCUUGUUGGUUUACAUUCAGUGGAAGAAAGGAAGGACUUCCUCCCCAGUCAUACAUAUUAAAGUUCUUCUUUUGGGUCUAAUUCAGAACAUAAAACAAAACAAAAAAGCCUGAAUCAGUACCUAGGACAAAAACAGUCCUAGUGAAACUUAGAGCUGUGCUUGCCAAACCAUUUAUUGUAGUAGUUCUCACCUUGACUCCAUAUUGCUAUCAUUUUGGAGGCUUUAAUAUGUACUAAUGCCUAGAUCGCAACCCCAGAGAUUCUGAUUUUUAUCUACGUUAAUGGAGUCAGGAGCUAUAUUUAGGUGAUUAUAAUAUGCUAGCAGUGUUGGGACUCAUAUCAUUAAAACGGGAAUGGAAGAAUUCAUGCUUUAUUGGACGAGUCUGUGUAAAAUGGGUACAGAGGUGUCAACCACAGUGUACGUGACAUAAAAAUAUAUUUAUUUUAAAGAUGUCUUUAUUUCACCUUUGUUCAUGAAAGAUAGAAUUUCAGACUGACAGAAGUUUUCUCUGAGUACAAAUAAGAGUAUUUCAUUUCCAUCUGGACUCUAAUGUUACAGAUGAGAAGUCUGUUGUGUCUGUUCUCCACCAAAUUAUUGAUCAUUUGAGAUACUGUGUGAUUUUCUUCUUUUUACCCUCUUUCUCUGGCUAAUUUUAAGCUAUCUUUCAUUUUUUUUAAUUCCUGAAGUUACACUAAAGUGUUUAGGUUUGGACUUACCUACUUUUAUUUAUCUUAUUAUGUAAUGUUCUUCUGCAAUCCAAAGACUAAUAUCUUUCUUCACCUCUGACAAAAUUCUCCACAAUUAUCAUUUUACCUAUCCCCCUAAUUCUUAGAUUUGUAAAAGUAAAGGGGCUGGCUCGGUGGCUCACACCUGUAAUCCCAACACUUUGGGAGGCCGAGGUGGGUGGAUCACGAGGUCAGGAGAUCGAGACCAUCCUGGCCAAAAUGGUGAAACCCCAUCUCUACUAAAAAUAGAGAAAAUUAGUCAGGCGUGGUGACGGGCGCCUGUAGUCCCAGCUACUCAGGAGGCUGAGGCAGGAGAAUGGCGUGAACCCAGGAGGCGGAGCCUGAAGUGAGCCGAGAUUGCGCCACUGCCCACCAGCCUGGGUGACAGAGCGAGACUCCAUCUCAAAAAAAAAAAAAAGAAAAAAAAAAGUAAAGAACAAAAAUUGCUGUUUCUUUUUAAAAAAAUCAGCUGUCAUGAGUACAUCCUGUUGGUUGUUGCAACAAUACAUAAUAUGUGUUCUCUCAUUUUGCCUUACUAAAACACUCCUAAUUAUUUCAUGGUGAUAAUAUGUCCAGUUAAAAUAUUUGGAUUCAAGAUAUGUCUUCCUAUGGGGAGUUGCCAUGUGAUGCAAGUUAAAUAAGUGGAUAAUGUUGGCUGGAGAGUCCACUAAAGCUCAUUCAAAGGAAUAGAGACUUAUAGUUAGUUAUACAGUACUGUACACCUAAAAAAAUUGUCAAAGGUAGAUAUUAUUUUAUGUAUUUUGACCAUAAUAAAAAAGGAACAAAAACUGAAAAGCUUGUCUUCUUUUCUGUUGACCUUUAUUUACUUCUUCUUUCCUAGAAAAACAGUUUCAGUGAUAGGAGGUGAAGGAAAAGCUAAACAGUAAAAGAGAAGGAAUAUGAAACAUAAAGGAAUUUUUCUCCUUCAUUAGUUACCUUAAAUAAUCUACUUGUCCUUAUUUUUCACAUCCAGAUUUCUUGUUUUGUGAAAAUAAAUUUUUAAAAAACUAUUAUUUUGUUAAGCCACAAAAAUUGAGUGUGUGUGUGUGUGUUUAGGCUUAUAAGGGAGUUAAAUUCAAUCUAAAUUUAAUCCUGAAAAACAUCUGGUUAAUCGAACAUAUGUUCCUUUUGGUGUCAGUUUUAAACAAGGUAAAUUAUACAGGUUUGAAUGAGAGGCCAUAAGUGUUGUACAAUUAUGGAAAACAUAAAAAAUGAAUAGCCAUUAUUCCUUAGGUCAGAGAUAGUAGAAAAGAGAAUUCAUAGGUUAUUUUUAAAGUGGAAAAGAUGAUCAUAAAUUCCUUUUGUCUAUUUUGCCAUGCCCAGAAUUUUUGACAAUGUAACUGUAGUUUUCCCUAUUAUCCAAUUUAAAAUCAAUAAUAAUCUUUAUUUAUAUUGUAGUUAUACUUUUAACUUUCCACUCCAAACAUAUUAAUGUAUUUCACUUUUCUUAAGUUAUUUAACACCUAGAUGUCUACAUUGCACACCAAUCAUCAUAGUUUGGACAAUCUAGCCAGUAAGUCAGUGAUAUUCUAUCACUCUGAAUCCUUAAUGAGGAGAUAAGUUUCUAUAUUACAAUUUUUUAUAGUAACUUUCUGAUGUAAGUUUACAUGCAUUUAAAUUUAUAUUUUUUAUAUGAUUCAAAUACAUACAAUUCUUUUCCCUUGAGUAUCUAUGUAAAAAAAUACUUUGUAGUUAAGUUCCAAGCUUCUGUCUGAAAAGUGAAAACUUAAAUCCUAAGGGAUUCUUUACUUUGGGAUUGAAAAUAGAGAUAAAAAAGCCCCAAGUAUAUUGUGAACAGUUUCCAAAACCCUGAACCAUUCAGUGAACCUAUGAACUUAACUUUUGUUCUCCCUUGAUAGCCAGUGCUGUUUUGAGACCAAUUUUUGUGGUUUCAUUUGGGUUCAGAGUCUAAUUCUAAUGCCAGUUGGUAAGAAUGAAAAAAUGAACGAAACCCUAGAGAAGUUUCCAAACCCACAGAGCUGAGCAAAGGGUAGGGAAUUUAUUUUGAGUUUCAGGUUUCCUAGCAUUUCAAAUGAAAGAAAACCAAAGGUAAAAUGUAGUAGACAUGACAUUUGUGAACGAAAACCAAUAUAAAGUUUGCUUUAACUGAUUCAGGGUGGUUGGAGUUACCUUCAUCCUAUCUGCAGAAGAGUCUGAUUUUCUUCUGCUUUACCUGCUCUCCACAGGAAUGGAAGGAAACGAUGUUUCAUUUAGCUACAUUGAAAACCCAGACUUUAAAACAAAAGUUUAAAUUUAUCUCACUCUCAUCUUUACUCAUCAACAUUUCCUUAAGUGUUAUUAGUUUUCUAUGCUCAAAUCCUUUUUCUUUCUUCUCUGUUUCUUUCGUUGUCCUUUACCGUAAAAUUUAAAAUCUCUAAAUAACUAAUCUGUGAAAUCUUACUAUUUUUUCUAAAACACUAAACCCUUAUUUUAAAGUAAACUAGAAAAAUAUUACAGAGAUCACUUGUUAAUGUGUCUUACAUAAAGUAUGUCAAACAUGCUUUUGUGAAGAAAAUAAAGAGGCUUUCAGAAAUUGACCUACUAUAGACUAGCAGAUUUUUAUUAAAAUAAACAAAUUAUUAAAGAAAAUACCCCAGGUCAGAUUAGCUUCUAUGAGAACCCAAGAGAAAUAAGAUAAUGAAGUACAACGAUCAGUAUUCUCUAACAACUGACACUCUCUUCCUGUAAUUUUUAAACUAUAUAUUAUUUUGUUGUAUUCUGUACAUUCUUGUCUCCUCUAUAAAGAUCAGCACAGCUUAUCACUCAGACACUGAUUUUAUAUUCAAUAAGUUGUCUUAGGCCUUGUGUGGUGGCUCACACCUGUACUCCCAGCACUUUGGGAGGUCGAGGCAGAUUGCUCAAGGUCAGGAGUUCAAGACCAGCCUGGCCAACAUGGUGAAACCCCAUUUCUACUAAAAAUACAAAAAAUCAGCAGGGCAUGGUGGCAGGCAUCUGUAGUCCCAGCUACUUGGGAGGCUGUGGCAGGAGAAUCCCUUGAACCCAGGAGGCAGAGAUUGCAGUUAGUCAAGAUUGCACCACUGCAUUCCAGCCUGGGAGACAGAGGGAGACUUUGUCUCUAUAAAUAAAUAAAUAAAUAGUCUUAGACACUUUUGGAUUAACCAGGCACAUAGUAUUUAAUAAAUACGAAUCUUUUGAAUAUAGACACCUUCAUUCAGAUUACAUUUAUAAUAAUUCUUACAUUAAGCCAAUGGCAAAUUAUAUCUAUAUGUAAAAACAAAUUACUUCUCUGCCUGAAAUUUUCUGUCAAAAAUAUUUUUCUGAGCUUUUUGUAGCCCCAAAAUAAGGAUUUUUUUUUCAUUAGAACUUUGUAAUUUUUUUCAUUUGUGGUCCACAUUGACUCACCAAUUUAAGAAAUAGUAGUUAUGAAUAUCUCAGUGGAAGUUUCGAUUGUUGUGCUGGCUUUCCGAGGGACAACAUUUUCUUCAGAAAAUGUUAUAAUUAUACAAUAUCUCACUUUGUUUCUCCCUCUAGCUGUUGCCUGGAAAUUUGGCUUGUCUUUGAGGUCUGUCAAAUCAAAAUCACUAACACAGUUUGCUUUUUAAUUGUUUUUUAAAUUUAAAGGUCAGCUUGGCUGUUCAAGCCAUGUCUUAUUGUAUAUUCCCCACUGAAAAAAAUAAGCUGAAGAUAAUAUCAAAUGACAUUUUUAAACUUUGCAAAGUACACAGGUAUUUUACAUAAAAUACACAAGUUCCAAAUGCUAACAAUGAAAUACUGAAAUCAAGAAAAUUAUUUAAAGAAACUCCAGCAUAUUUACAUCUUUUAUGUCUACGAUCCACUCACUUUCAGAGUUUCCAAAGACUGAAUUGAGCCUUAUUUCUAAAUCAGCACAAUUAGCAUAUUUGUUCCUUAAAGUUUGUAUGUCUUUUAAAUAUUUAAUCUUGCUUAUUAUAUCAGAAUUGAAUAAAAACUUAUACAAAUGUUGAAAAGAUUUCUAUAUCCAUUUUAAAACACUUGUGAAAGUCAGGCAAACCUGGCCAUUUCAAACAUAUUACAAUUUCAUAAUGGGCACAAAAAGCUAUGUAGAAGGCACUAUGAUUAUUUUAUUGAAGGGAAGUUUAUAAUUGAAAGUAGAAGUGUACAAGACUGCCCCAAUCACCUAAUGUCCGUUUUCUAGUCAUCAAUUGAACUGAAAGAUAGAGGUAAGCUGUCAAAUUCACUAGCAGUUUUAAAGAAAUGUGUUUUCUGUUCAAUUCCAGGCUGCGAAUUAAAGCACAUGAAUGCGAGUUUUGCCACAUUGUGCACGUGACUGAUUUUAAAAUGUCUGGAUGCAAGAGAUGUCACCUGGCAAAUGGUCCUGACUGUCACAACAACUGAUCUCAGAGCACUUGUCCUUCUUUACUGUUACCACAGUCCCAGCCUCUGAUUCUCUAAUUCUAAUUUCCACUAAGGAAUGGCACCUUAUUUUUUGACAGUUUUUUUAAAGUAGUGUACUGGUCCUGGCAUUUUUUAAAAAUCUUUUCUUCAAACUUAUUUUUAAAAAGCUGCAGGAAAAAUACAAAAUAAUCCUGUAUAUCCUUUACCACCCACAUACCCCCAAUUUUAACAUAUUUUAACAUACAGGAAGUCCUCACUUAAGAUUUUCAAUAGGUUCUUGGAAACUGUGACUUUAUUUGAAACAGCUUAUAAGGAGACCAAUUUUACCAUAGGCUAGUUGAUUAGCUAACAAAGGUUAAGUUCCUAUGACAUACUUUCAGUCACAAAAACAUCACCAAGCUUCUCAGUAAGAGAACUAAAACACUUCUAAUAUGAAACAUUGAAAUAAAUGUUAGCUACACACAUUUAAGAAAGAUUAAUAAAAACAAAUAAGAAUUAUUUUCUGAAUUUUGGGGGAAUCAGUGAGUAUCAUGGCAGUGGUAGGUUAGAUUAAGGAAUAAAUACUUGCAAAAUGAAAAUUGUUAGAAGUCCCUCCUCCUGCCAGGCAGUUCAGAAACAAUCACAGAAAUCACAGACUCCCUGAGCAAUACUGUACUACAUCACUUACGACAUGCAUGUAUAUGAUUGUCACCUACUUUACAAAUGUUUAUUUCACAAUAAUUUGUAUUCAUUCAUUCAUUUUCCAACUCGAUUAUUCCAGUUCAUAGUGGCACUGCUCAGGGUGCAAGGAUGAAACAGCCCUGGCCAAGAUGCCACUCCACACCAGGGCACACUCACACUCACACUCACACUUACUCAGACUGAGACCAUUGAGACAUGUUCCAUAGCUUAGACAUAACCUAAUGUGUCUAACAGCUUUGGGAUGUGGGUGGAAACCAGAGUACCCAGAGAAAGCCCACACAGACAUGCAGAGAAUGUGCAAACUCCACACAGACAAUGACCUUCCCCAAGCGGAAUUGAUUUUUUCUCAACGUUAUAACUAAAGGACGUCCAACAAAACAUUAUUCAAGUACUUGUUGUAUAUGUUUUACACACACUCAUUUAUGUACGUGUGUGUGUAAUAUAUGUGUAUAUUGGUAGUUGAUAUUAAUUUUAUUUUGAUAUUUUAUUAUUUAUAUUCUAUACAUAUGAUAUAUGUGUAUAUUUUACCCGCAACCAUUGGACAAUAAUCUGCAGACAUGAUGCUCCAUUAAUCCUAAAUACUUCCAUUUGCAUUUUCAAAGGAUCAAGGACAUUCUCUUACAUAAUUCAGUACCAUUAUAAAAAUCAGAUAAUUAAAUUUAUAUAAUUCUAUAACUGGCAGUCAUAUUUUAGAUUUUAUCCACUUUCCAAUUACGUCCUUCAUAGCAAAAUAAAAUCCCAAGUGGUGCAUUGCAUCCAGUUUUCAUAAUUCUUUAGACUCCCUGAAUCUGAAACAGAUUUACAGUCCUGCAUCUCAGUAUACUGAUAUUUUUGAAGAGGACAGGACAGUUAUUUUGUGUAGUGUUUCUCAAUUUGGGCUUCACUUCUGUUUUCUCAUAAAAAGGUUAUGCAGUUUUGACCAGAAUACCCUGGGUGUGAAGUUAUGGUCUUAGUGCACAGUAUCAGUAGAGUAUGAGGCUGAUUUUUCCCAUUAUUGGUAAAUAUUAAUUCAGAUCCCUUAGUAGGGUGGUUUUCUUUCUGCAAUGUUUCUAAAUGGUACACUGAACUUUUCUCUUUAUAAUGAAUAAAUAUCAUAUUUGAAAACUUUUGAGACCGUAUAAAUAACCCUCAACUAUCAAACUUCCACCUGCUGAUUUUACCAUCUAUUGAUAAUUCCUGCUUGAAUCAAUAAUGAUGAUUGUUGCCAGCAUAAUGUGAUUAUUCUUUCUACAUUUACUACUUGGACUUCUACUACAAGGAAUAACUUUCCUAUUUAUUUAUUCAUUUAUUUGCUUAUUAGUUUAUUUAUUAAUAAUUGACUAAUGAAAAGUAGAUUACUAAAUAAUACAGGUACUUUUUUGCAAUUUACUUUUUUCACUUAAAAUAUAUUUUGGAACUCACUCCAAGCCUGUUCAUAGAACCCUUUAUCAUUCUUUUUGAUAACUAUUGUAGCUCCUCAUUGUGAGGAUGAGUUAUAAUUUAUUCAAACACUUUCCUAUGUAUGGCCAUAUUGAUUAUUUUCAAUAUUUUUCAGUUACAAACAAUACAGCAUUAAAUGACAUACUAUUUUCAUGUUUUUUCAUACUGCCACAGAUGUAUCUGCAGGGUAAAUUCCUAGAAGUAAGAGGUAAGGGAGAGAUCAGGAAGUUUCUUUGGCUGGUGACUAUAAGUGCAGUAAGUUCCUUUAACAUUCUCUGGGUAUAGCAAACCCUUAGUAGUACAUUAUUUUCUCUGUGGGAACUUUUGCAGACUCUGAAAUUCCUUUAUUUUAAAUUAUCAGCUGUAUGUCCUUUGGUUCUCUUCUUCCUUCAGUCCCUGGAAUUUUCCCAGUUUUCUGCUUCACAUAUAUUUUCACGGUUGGGCUACUAAUGCCUGUCUGGACCGACUUUCAGUUGGAACCCACCUUGGCUCCAGGCAGGCUCUAUCUCCUGUAUGACCCAUACCUCCAUCUUUGGGAAGCAUUCCUAUAUCCUUUGAUGUAAUAAAUUCUAGGGGCUCAAGUUACUCUUUUUUUCAAUUUAUUUAUUUAUAUUUUUGAGACAGAGUCUCACUCUGUUGCCCAGGCUGGAGUGCAGUGGCACCAUCUCGGCUCACUGCAAGCUCUGCCUCCCGGGUUCACUCCAUUCUCCUGCCUCAGCCUCCCGAGUAGAUGGGAU